CCCUUAGAUGUCCUGGGCCGCACGCGCGCUACACUGAGUGUCUGAGAUACGAGUCUGCCUGGUCCGGCAAGGUCUAGGUAAUCGCUAAAAGACACAUCAUGCUUGGGAUAGAUUAUUGCAAAUAUUAAUCUUGAACGAGGAAUUCCUAGUAAGCGCAAGUCAACAGCUUGCGUUGAUUACGUCCCUGCCCUUUGUACACACCGCCCGUCGCACCUACCGAUUGGAUGGUCCGGUGAAGCCUCGGGAUUGUGGUUCUUGCCGCUUUAUUGUGGCGUGACCGCGAGAACUUGUCUAAACCUUAUCAUCUAGAGGAAGGUGAAGUCGUAACA
rnacentral:rRNA from 1 species